rnacentral:rRNA from 1 species
UACGGAGGUGGCUAGCGUUGUUCGGAAUUACUGGGCGUAAAGUGCACGUAGGCGGCUUUGUAAGUUAGAGGUGAAAGCCCGGGGCUCAACUCCGGAAUUGCCUUUAAGACUGCAUCGCUAGAAUUGUGGAGAGGUAAGUGGAAUUCCGAGUGUAGAGGUGAAAUUCGUAGAUAUUCGGAAGAACACCAGUGGCGAAGGCGACUUACUGGACACAUAUUGACGCUGAGGUGCGAAAGCGUGGGGAGCAAACAGG